ACUAAAUAAAAAAUAACAUGCAUUUUUUAUGAUCUCUCUUGUUAAAAUUAUUCACAUAUUCAGAGCUUCUGCAAGUGGUUCACAUACUUUUUCUUGCAGCUGUAUAUACACACAAAAUUGGUACCAAGAACCGUUAAAUUAAUGGCAUUGGUAACAACUACUGGAAUUUUGGAACUGUGACAACACUAUACAGUGUGUAUGUAUACAUGAUGAAGAAAAAUGAGGAGAGUGAAGAGGAGGAAAAAUGUAUCAAAAUUGAUGAAAAAACUUGCUCACAGACUGAAAGUAUUUCUAUACUGAAAAGAAGAGACAAGAAAUGUUUCACCUGCCAUCAGUGUGGAAAGAGUUUCACAUUGAUAAAGAGCCUCAAGAUUCACAUGAUGAUCCACACUGGAGAGAAACCAUAUCACUGCACUGCAUGUAGGAAGAGUUUCACUGAAACAUCUUCUCUAUGCAUGCAUACAAAAAACAAUGUUUUUUAUGCAAAAAGAGACCGUUUCAAAACCAUUUAACUUGAUAUUCUAUAGUCUUUCACUUUUCUUUUGCCUCUGUCUCAACUUUUUUUGAAUGUGUUGCAGCCAUCAAAAUCAAAAUUUGUUUAUAUUUGCAAAAUACACUUAAGUUGCUCAGUGAAAACUUUGAAAAUCUUCUCUUUGUACUUUUGAACUUUUUUUAAAUAAAGGUUAAAGAGAGUUAGCAAA